rnacentral:rRNA from 1 species
GACGAACGCUGGCGGCGUGCUUAACGCAUGCAAGUCGAACGGAAAGGCCCUGCUUUUGUGGGGUGCUCGAGUGGCGAACGGGUGAGUAACACGUGAGUAACCUGCCCUUGACUUUGGGAUAACUUCAGGAAACUGGGGCUAAUACCGGAUAGGAGCUCCUGCUGCAUGGUGGGGGUUGGAAAGUUUCGGCGGUUGGGGAUGGACUCGCGGCUUAUCAGCUUGUUGGUGGGGUAGUGGCUUACCAAGGCUUUGACGGGUAGCCGGCCUGAGAGGGUGACCGGCCACAUUGGGACUGAGAUACGGCCCAGACUCCUACGGGAGGCAGCAGUGGGGAAUAUUGCACAAUGGGCGGAAGCCUGAUGCAGCAACGCCGCGUGCGGGAUGACGGCCUUCGGGUUGUAAACCGCUUUCGCUUGUGACGAAGCGUGAGUGACGGUAAUGGGUAAAGAAGCACCGGCUAACUACGUG